GAGCGGCGAACGGGUGAGUAACACGUGAGUAACCUGCCCCNGACUCUGGGAUAAGCCCGGGAAACUGGGUCUAAUACCGGAUAUGACACCUCCUCGCAUGGGGUGGGUGUGGAAAGUCUUUUCGGUUGGGGAUGGACUCGCGGCCUAUCAGCUUGUUGGUGGGGUAAUGGCCUACCAAGGCGACGACGGGUAGCCGGCCUGAGAGGGCGACCGGCCACACUGGGACUGAGACACGGCCCAGACUCCUACGGGAGGCAGCAGUGGGGAAUAUUGCGCAAUGGGCGAAAGCCUGACGCAGCGACGCCGCGUGGGGGAUGACGGCCUUCGGGUUGUAAACCUCUUUCAGCAGGGACGAAGUUGACGUGUACCUGCAGAAGAAGCGCCGGCUAACUACGUGCCAGCAGCCGCGGUAAUACGUAGGGCGCAAGCGUUGUCCGGAAUUAUUGGGCGUAAAGAGCUCGUAGGUGGCUUGUCACGUCGGGUGUGAAAGCUUGGGGCUUAACUCCAGGUCUGCAUUCGAUACGGGCUGGCU
rnacentral:rRNA from 1 species